rnacentral:rRNA from 1 species
CAAGCGUUGUUCGGAAUUACUGGGCGUAAAGGGCUCGUAGGCGGCCAACUAAGUCAGACGUGAAAUCCCUCGGCUUAACCGGGGAACUGCGUCUGAUACUGGAUGGCUCGAGUUUGGGAGAGGGAUGCGGAAUUCCAGGUGUAGCGGUGAAAUGCGUAGAUAUCUGGAGGAACACCGGUGGCGAAGGCGGCAUCCUGGACCAAUACUGACGCUGAAUAGCGAAAGCCAGGGGAGCAAACGGG